CUGAUUUAGAAUGUUGAUUGAGAAUUGUCUAAGCAACCCCAUGAAUCAUGCCGCUUCCAGUAUAGUAUUAUUGUAUUACAGAAACACUUACUAAUAUAUGAGAUGAGUGAUCCUAUACUUUAUCCGAGCUCCGACCAUCUUCCAACUGUUCUUUCUUCCACUUUUGAUCGAUGAUGUGUACUCUUCUAGGCACCGAAAUCUCUCUGUCCUUCUUCACCCUCAAUCAAAUCUUCCUCCGCAAUCAGUAUACUAUAUUUUUACUGCUUCAGACAAUUCUUCUCUUCCCCAUACCCUUUUGGAGUUUAGUUCUCAGAAUUUCUUCUUUGGUAAACUCUCUUUGUUGUCAUCAAGUGUUUCAUCAUUUUGAUCGAACAUCUUCUUGCUCACACUGUAAUUAAUCAUCAUCAUCAUCAUCAUACAAACCAUUUGGAGG
rnacentral:misc_RNA from 1 species